UGAGUACGAGAUGCUACGGCAUCGAAGCAGUCUAUGUCAUACUUCCAAGAAAAGCUUGCACUGUCAGAAACAGAUAAUGCCUGUACCAUAACCGACACAGGUGGGUAGGUAGAGUAUACUAAGGGGCGCGAGAUAACUCUCUCUAAGGAACUCGGCAAAAUGACUCCGUAACUUCGGGAGAAGGAGUGCCUUAUUUUUAAGGUUGCAAUAACAAGAUCCAAGCAACUGUUUACCAAAAACACAGGUCUCCGCUAAGUCGUAAGACGAUGUAUGGGGGCUGACGCCUGCCCAGUGCCAGAAGGUUAAAGAAGUCGGUUAGCAUUCGCGAAGCUGGUAACUGAAGCCCUGGUGAACGGCGGCCGUAACAAUAACGGUCCUAAGGUAGCGAAAUUCCUUGUCGGGUAAGUUCCGACCCGCACGAAAGGCGUAAUGAUUUGGAUACUGUCUCGGAGAGGGGCUCGGUGAAAUAGACUUGUCUGUGAAGAUGCGGACUACCUGCACCUGGACAGAAAGACCCUAUGAAGCUUUACUGUAACUUGAAAUUGAAAUUGGACUUUAUUUGCGCAGUAUAGGUGGGAGGCGUUGAAAAUAUUCUUGCGGGAAUAUUGGAGCCAUCAGUGAGAUACCACUCUUGUAAUGUUAGAUUUCUAACUUUAUAUCAUUAUCUGGUUAAAGAACAGUUUCAGGCGGGCAGUUUGACUGGGGCGGUCGCCUCCCAAAUGGUAACGGAGGCGCACAAAGGUUUCCUCUGAACGGGUAGAAAUCGUAUCUAGAGUGUAAAGGCAUAAGGAAGCUUGACUGUGAGACCUACAAGUCGAGCAGGGACGAAAGUCGGUCUUAGUGAUCUGACGGUGCUGAGUGGAAAGGCCGUCACUCAACGGAUAAAAGUUACUCUAGGAUAACAGGCUGAUCUCCCCCAAGAGUUCACAUCGACGGGGAGGUUUGGCACCUCGAUGUCGGCUCAUCGCAUCCUGGGGCGGUAGUACGUCCCAAGGGUUGGGCUGUUCGCCCAUGAAAGCGGUACGCGAGCUGGGUUCAGAACGUCGUGAGACAGUUCGGUCCAUAUCCGGUGUAGGCGUUAGAAUAUUGAGAGGAGCCUUCUUUAGUACGAGAGGACCGAGAAGGACAUACCUCUGGUGUACCAGUUAUCGUGCCAACGGUAAACGCUGGGUAGCUAUGUAUGGAGUGGAUAACCGCUGAAAGCAUCUAAGUGGGAAGCCCACCUCAAGAUAAGUAUUCCC
rnacentral:rRNA from 1 species